GGAAAACAGAGUCAAGUGAUUUGCCCAGGAUCACACAGGUCCUAAUAAACUGGAAGUUCUUCAGUUGUAGGCCAGGUUAUGGGCUAUGUAUCAUUCCAGGAACAAUCUGGCUGAAUUUGGAGAGACAGAUUGCCAAAAGAUAAGGAAGCCAAAGCCCAGAGAGGUCAACUGACUUGCCUAAAAUCAUAUAAGAGGAAAGUAGCAAAUCCAGAACUCAAAUUGGGCCUUCUCACUCGAGAUCUACAGUACUUUCUACUAUACCACACUCUUCCAAAGACAUAAUAUUACUUACAAGUACACAAUCAAUAUAAUGCCUAAGAGCCACAUAGAGUUCUAGAGCCAAAAGUGGACCAGCCCUUCAAUACACUCUACCCCUAAUUCAGGACAAGUUUUACCUGAAAGGCAUGUGAGACCCUCCAAAAUUCAUUGCUAAUCUUCAUUUCCUGCCUUUUCUCAAAUUACUAAACUGCUAUGCAUUCUGUGCACUAGCUAAACUGUAGCACCAUCCAGUCCCAACCCCAAUCCCCAAAUGCAUAGGUGUACCUCAUAGAAGUCAACAAGGUGGUAUAGAUAGAGUGGUGAGUCUGGAGUCAGGAAGAACUAAGUUCAAAUCCAAACUCAGACACUUAUUAGUAUAAUCUUGGAGAAGUCAUUUAAUCUCAGUUUCUUCAACUAUAAGAAGAGAAUUAUAAAUAAUAUUGAUCUUCCAGGGUUGUACUGAGGAUCAAAUGAUAUCAUAUUUCUAUAGCACUGAGCAUAGUACUGUGAAAGGGAAUUCUUUAUUCUCUUUGUCUAUUUUGAGUUAAUACUUGGAUAACAAUAACUUAAGAACCCCUACUUAAUAUCUCAUCCAACUGUGAAGUGUGAAUCAAACUUUCUUUUAGAAACCCUACUUAGUACUUCACCAGACACUAAAUAAGAGUGUUCUGCAAGUCAUUUGCUAAAGUAGGUAACAACUCAAUCAGUCAGAAAAUUGUGAAUCCUUUUGAUAAGAGUUUACACCUACAGAGGAUGAGAAGUGGAUCCCUCAAG
rnacentral:lncRNA from 1 species